AUAUAUCUGCCUCACUCUCAGUGAAAUCAGUAGUACUGCUAGGUUUUACACAGUAAUAAUAUAUAUCUGCCUCACUCUCAGAGAAAUCAGUAGUACUGCUAGGUUUUACACAGUAAUAAUAUAUAUCUGCCUCACUCUCAGAGGAAUCAGUAGUACUGCUAGGUUUUACACAGUAAUAAUAUAUAUCUGUCUCACUCUCAGAGGAAUCAGUAGUACUGCUAGGUUUUACACAGUAAUAAUAUAUAUCUGUCUCACUCUCAGAGGAAUCAGUAGUACUGCUAGGUUUUACACAGUAAUAAUAUAUAUCUGCCUCACUCUCAGAGAAAUCAGUAGUACUGCUAGGUUUUACACAGUAAUAAUAUAUAUCUGCCUCACUCUCAGAGGAAUCAGUAGUACUGCUAGGUUUAAUACAGUAAUAAUAUAUAUCUGCCUCACUCUCAGAGGAAUCAGUAGUACUGCUAGGUUUUACACAGUAAUAAUAUAUAUCUGCCUCACUCUCAGAGGAAUCAGUAGUACUGCUAGGUUUUACACAGUAAUAAUAUAUAUCU
ensembl:lncRNA